rnacentral:rRNA from 1 species
AUUGAACGCUGGCGGCAGGCCUAACACAUGCAAGUCGAGCGAGUGGCGGACGGGUGAGUAAUGCUUGGGAAUCUAGCUUAUGGAGGGGGAUAACUACGGGAAACUGUAGCUAAUACCGCGUACCAUAGGAUGAGCCCAAGUGGGAUUAGGUAGUUGGUGAGGUAACGGCUCACCUAGGCGACGAUCCCUAGCUGGUCUGAGAGGAUGACCAGCCACACUGGAACUGAGACACGGUCCAGACUCCUACGGGAGGCAGCAGUGGGGAAUAUUGCACGAUGGGCGCAAGCCUGAUGCAGCCAUGCCGCGUGUAUGAAGAAGGCCUUCGGGGUGUAAAGUACUUUCAGCGAGGAGGCGUUACUCGCAGAAGAAGCACCGGCUAACUCCGUGCCAGCAGCCGCGGUAAUUC